AGCAGCAUGGCGCAGUUGGUCUAGCGCGCAGGGCCCAUAAAAUUGGUCACCCUGAGGUCCCUCGAUCGAAACGAGGUGCUGCUA